UACGGGGGGAGCAAGCGUUGUUCGGAUUUACUGGGCGUAAAGGGCGCGUAGGCGGCCAGCACAAGUCAGUUGUGAAAUCUCCGGGCUUAACUCGGAAAGGUCAACUGAUACUGUGCGGCUAGAGUGCAGAAGGGGCAACUGGAAUUCUCGGUGUAGCGGUGAAAUGCGUAGAUAUCAGGAAGAACACCCGUGGCGAAGGCGGCUCUCUGGGACGGUACUGACGCUGAGGUACGAAGGCAUGGGUAUCGAUCGGG
rnacentral:rRNA from 1 species